rnacentral:lncRNA from 1 species
AUUUCUUAGAGAAGAAUAAGAAGUUGUAAAGGAAUAGGAGUCUUGAGUAGGAGUCCUAUUAGGAGUUGGUUAUAAGUAGGAGUUUUGAGUAGGAGUCCUAUUAGGAGUUGGUUAGAAGUAGGAGUCUUAAGUAAGAGUCCUAUUAGGAGUUAGGGUUUAGAAGCCCUAUAAAUAGUCAUGUAUUCCACCUCUUUUCAUAAGCAAUAGAUGAAUCUUUUCUGCAGCCUUUGAGCAGCAACUUGGAGGGAGGAACCCCUAUAGAGUUCCAAGGAGGCCGAUCCCCUAAAGAGAUCAACCCCAAGUUUAGAAUCUACAAGGGUUCUAACACCUGGUAUCAGAGCAGCGUUCUUGGCAUCUCGCUGUCCUUCCACUGCCAUCCAUCAGCCCUCCACAACUGCCCAAAGCAAUUCCCACAAUUGCUUAAAAGAUCGUCGCCGAAUUCUGCCAUCAUCUCCACCACCGCGGAUCAUCCUUUGAUCUCCCCGUGAAUUGCAACAGGUUCUGGUUUCCUACCUUACUGCUGCUGCAAUUUAGUUAUCCUUAUUCAAAAAUCUAAAAAAAAAAAACUGUUCCUAUAUUGCUGCAUAAACCUUUCAUCACAAAGUUUUCAUCUCUACGACGAAAGAUACAUUGCAGA